UGGAAAGACCUGACAGAACUGAAAGAAUUUGAUUAUCUGUGGAAUGAUAUGUUGAAGUUAAGGAUUAUUUGUGCUUAGCACCUUUCCCACUUUCCAUGAACCACACUUUUCAUUCUUUAUUACCUCGUAUCGUCCUUACUUUUGAUAUGAUAUACACAAUAUUUGUAAUACAAAAAUCUAGGCUGCCUGUUCUUUAUUAUUCAUAGUUAGCUCAUUUUACUACUCCUCUUCCUUUUGUUUGUUAAUCAGUGCUUGACUCUUAUCUUAUUAAGAGAUGGAACAGUCAAAACUGAGAUUCAUGUCAGAAAUAUAUAAUUGUUCACUAAAGGUUUCCUCAGCUCUGGUCUAAACCUACUUGCCUGGAAAGGAGCAUUGUCCAAACACCCUGCUGCUACUCCUUGGAUGACUGCUCCUAUCACUUGGUAAUCUAGAAGCCAUUGAGGGGCAGGGAUGUCUGUUAUUUAAACUAGUAAAUGUAAACAAGAAGACCCAUUUUUGUCAUGAUUUAGUGGUAGUAUGUUUGCUUAAUGUAAAGGAGCACUUUUAGCGAUAGUAAGUCGCUAAGUUUGUGUCCUGGAUUGGUGGUUUUGGACAUACUUGUAAAAAGCAUGAGACCGUAAGUGUGGAAAACCACACCACUGGUUGUGAACUCCCAGCAACUGACUUCCUUCUUUGUGUCCUGGCAAAGAGGAUCUGUUGAGACCAAUUUGGGUUGUACUUGUGCUUUAAUGGUUCCUGUCCAUCUUGGGCUGUCUGUUAGAGUAAAUUGCAGAAUCCUGCUAUUAUCUGUUAGGCAUCCAAUUGUGUGACUUGUACAACAGUCAAGUUGAGACUUUCUCACAGAAAAACCAUUCCUAACCUUAUGGUGAAUCUCCCAUCUGAAUCUGUUUGCAUUGCCAUGUCCAGCACAAACACUGCAGCUCUUGCUCCUGUUCUCUGUUGCAGCAGAGGGGAGCAGCGAAGCCUGCCUGGCUUCCAGAGCUGUCCGAAUGCAACAGCAUCAGCUGUAAUAGCCAAGAUGAGUUCCAAGGGAAAGGAAGCUGCUAAGCUGGAGAACAAUAUUUAAUUUGGCAGUAGAUUUUAUGUUUGUAUUUCAAGGGAACUGUUAGCCAGUAUUAUGGGGGGGCAGGGAGGUAGGGUUGGUAUCACAGUUCAGGAAAUGCAUGGAGCUUUGAAACUUAAGUAAUAAGAAAACCAAUCACCUCUGUGACCAGAGGUGGAUGUGCAGGCCUAGGUUUAAAGCUUAGUCACGAGAUGAAAGAAGUCAUCUGUCAAUUCUUCCAAAGUCUGAUCAUUCCUGUAAAUCACUCCUGGAGCCUGUUUUUAACAGGUGACUGAGCUGAAGCUCUGAAGGGUUCUGUUGGAAACAAGUACUGCAAAAACGUAUCUGUAAUCUAGAUUUUAUCCAUUUCUGAAUACGUGUUAAACUUGUAAUACUAGGCAUUGUGUUCCCAUCUGUUAAUGUAAUUUUGUAGACAAUAACUUUAAAGAGUUUUGGCUUGUAAUUUGAUCUUUAAAUGUUAUUUCAUAAUGUAAUACGUUUGAUACUUAUUGUUUUUCUGAAAAACUCUUUUUACUCACAAACUGCCCAUUCUUUCUUCUUUUCAGUGAAGUUCAUACUGUUGAGGCUUCUCAUAGGCUGCCUUGUUAGCGUCAAGUAUUCCACUGAAACUGAAAUGAGUAAUGUUGUUCUCAGUAUGAAAAUGCAUGUUAGUUUGAGGGUGUUUUAACCUGCUUUUCAAUUAAAAUGCACCUUACUAUAAAUAAAGGUACUGCCCUGACUUUCUCACUUUGGCAAAAGUUUUUUCCAGAAGACUUCCCCAAGAAGUCAGAAGUUGUCAGGUUCGUAAGUGAAAGUGAAAGUAACUGCAAAUCAAAUGAGACCUGAACUUUUGAGGGCCUGCCCUGUGAUACAGUGUGCCCGUGUGUCUCAUGAAAAGCUGUGCUGGUCCAUUUGCAUGUCCAAGUUUUUUGGCUCCUUUUUGUUAAGGAGUGGGCUCCAUAUUUGAUCUACAGGUUAUUUGUUUGGGGCUGAAGUUCGGUAAUAUUGUUUAAACACUCAAAAAUUUAGGCAUAGGGUUGGUCUGUAAACUGACCUGUUGUUUAGCUGACAGUUUUGUUGAGGUCUCUGGUUCAAAUAACUAAAGCCGUAUUAUGUUUUUCAAGAUUAACAUACAAAACAACUCCUUUUUCUUUUGUAUCUUUGAACCCAAUUUGUCCAUAUGCAGAAGAAGUUGGUUUUAUUGGAGCUCUUUUUGCAAAUAAAUUCUGCCACUUGUAUGUGUUUCUUGUUUUUGGUGAAAGGCAUAUCUUGUUGCCCUUCAGUCUGCAGCCUGUGUUUUUUUUUUUUUUUUUUUUAAAAAAAAAAAGCACUAGAUUUAUUUUUAGAAGUUCAGACUCUUAGGAAUGUGACAAUAUCACAUGAGUAGGCCAGUUACUGGAGAAAGAGCCAUACACACUGCAAAAUAUGGAAUAAUGAGGCUAGGAGCCUGUGCUGUCGCCAUUCAGUUUAACAUAGCUGGAAAUAUAAGAAAGUAAGCAAAUUAUUUGAUGAGUUAGCAGUGAACCUGGCUGUAACAAUUUUACAGAAGCAAGGGCAGCCAACAGCUUGUCAAUUUGAUGGGUGGCCCCCAAAGUUUUUUUUUUAAAAGGAAAUCACUCAAAUCUAUUGCUUUCGUAGGAUUUACCAGCGUGUAUCAGUUCUCAGCUACUGGCCUGGGAACCACCAGUGGAAUGUAAAGCCUGUCUAUCAUCUGUAAACUGAAGUAUUUUCAAUAACCGUGCAAUUCAGCAGCAGAAGAGGAGUAAUUAAAUGUCUUAUAAAAUGCUGAAGAAAACAAUUAGCAAGCAGAAAAGUUGGAGAUCAAUGUAGAAGUAUCUUCUCAGUGGUCCCCGGACUAGGCAACAUGACAGUUAUCUCCCUAAUUUCUCAUAAGUGAGGCUACCCUGACUGACUUCAGUUACAAACAUCCUUGCCUGUGCUGCUGCAUCCUGCUGUGCAGAACUCGCAGUGUGUGCACUCAUGGAGUUAGGGCUGUAUUGGACCAGAGAGAUUAUCGUGUUACAAAGGAGAAAUGAAAUAAAGAUCUUACCCACGUCCUGGGCUCACAGAAGGGCUCCAAGAGGAAGGAUCUCCAGCCCUUAAAUGGGGUCUAGGAGGGGUGCAGCCAGGCUCCACCCCUUCUGGUCACUCAGGUGAAAUUGCAUUCACCUGUGCCCCUGCAGCUGACUCAACACUCGCCUCAGGUGGUCAAUCAGAGGUUCAGGCCGUGAUUCAACUGUUCCCAUACACCUAAACAGAAAUGAUUCUCUUAUCUCACAUGUGAGAAUAAAAUAUGAUACAAACUAUUCUGUGACUGAGGAAAGAUAUCUGAGUGGUGCAUAGUGAGUCAACACAUCACAAGUCCAUUUUUCCAUGUCUGUAUGGGAAAGGAGGGAGGGAAAGUGAUGUUUUGAGUAGGAGGCUUCUUUCGGAUUUUUCUCUUCAUUUUAGGUGAAGUCAGUGUUCUGCAUUUGUUAAUGGCAAAAAUCAGUUCAGGAACUGGUUCUAAUUUAAUGAAGCCUUUAUGUAAUUGAUUUUUUUCUUCUAGUACAGAAUAUUGUUGCAAGAAUUCUUUCCUUAAACUUUUUAAUUAAGUAGAAAUAAUUACCAAUAUGUAGUCAUAUUUUUGAUAAAAUACUUGGUGUAUUCUUCCAUGUGACUUGAGUUCUAUAGAGUUCCCCUGUAAUGCUCGGAAUACAAAUAUUUCCAGAACACCAGUGAUUGCUUUUUAGUUCAGAUAACUUACUGUAAGGUAGUUGGUUAAGAGGAGCAUAAGAACAAACAUAGGGGGGUCAGGCUGUGCAUCCAUUUACCUUAGCAACCUUCUUUAGAUCAUCAUGCUCACUCAGCAUCAGGUGCUUAGAGAAGAACAUGAGAGCAGAGAAAGCAUACAGUGAUUGGUCUUUACCACCUUAUUUGAUCUAACUUUCAGCAGACUCUUGAAUCAGUGGAAACAUAUGUAUAUAACAUGCUUUAGUAGAUUAUGCUUUUGUUGAUUCAUGUAGCAAGAAAUGUUUCUAGAGUCUAGUAAUACUCUAUUCUGUGUGGCUUGUACAGAUACUGUCAUUGUUUUGAAAAUUGUAUCUAUUAUUUGCUGCCCAACUGUACUGUUAGGAGAAAAAGCAAAUGAUGAUUUCCUAUGCCUCUUUUCCAUGUUUUCCGUGAUUUUAUAGACCUUCUGUUUCUUAUCAGCUGUCUGCUUCAGAGCAAAGGGCUCUUAAUCCCUGGCAGAUACUGAAAGAACUUCCUGCUUGCCUGUUCCUGUUUCCUUCGCUGUCAUAAAUGUUCAUACAGUCACACAAAGACAGACUGAGGAAACAAUCCAUGUAAAAAAUGCUGUUCCCCAUCUGUAUGUACUUCUGACAGUUCAGCUCAGCCAGCCCAUCCCACUGUGUGGUGCAUGGGCAUGUGAUGGCAGGAACAGGAAUAAACUGUGGAGACCUCCUUAGCUAUGUGGGCUUCAGCCCUGUCUGCUCUCUGAAAACUUCUUGGUGUUGUUCUCUCACCUGGUAUUAAGUGAAGGUUGUUUGCUUUGUCAUUGAUUAUACUCUUAAAAACAAGAACAACAACAAAAAGCAACAGAACAUGCAUAGCGAAAUUGUUUCAAAGCAGUAGACCAAACCAUAAAGGUAAAUUGGUCUUACGCUGCAACUUUUUCUUUAGUGUUGAUGCUAGUUCAGUCUUUUUCCUAUCAAACUGUCAAAUUCUCAUUAAAUGUUAGGAAUACAUCACCUCUGAGACUUUAGAGUCUCAUCCAACUUGGUCAAAACUGAUGUAUGGUUAAUUGGUGUAAUUUAUUUGGAGAGGAACGGUAGCUACCAUGACUGCAGAAGUCUGACUUGCUUAGGAAAACUUGGAGGGGGAUGGGAGGAGAUGAAUUCUUUAUUUAAAAGUCAGAUGGCUUGUUUGGAGGAAUCUUCAUGUGCUUUUUAUUUCCCUUUCCUGUCUAUGUUGUUUUCCUUGGUUUUAGCAGUAUGAUGAUCUCUUCAGAUCAUACUGAAAAUUGCCUCUAACAUUUAUUUCUAAACAUGCUGAUUUCUUCUGCUUCUAUAAAUUUCACUGUACAGCUGGAAUAGCUGUGCUCUGCUAGCUCCACAUAAAACAGAAAUGCAUUUACUAGUUCCAUAACGUUUAUGCUUCUGGAGCUAAGUCAUCUUUGCAUUUGGUGGAGCUUACAGAGGGCUGUUUUCUCAGUAGAGAGACUGGGGAAAAUACAUAAUGCAAAAUCUUCAGGAAUAUUAUUUCUAGUAAGCCACGAAUACCAGAUGGCUUUGAAACCUAUUUAGUUAUCUGUUUUUGUUAAUCUUGCUUUGCUUGCUUGAGACCUCCAAACUUAUUUUCCCCACCUGCAGAUAAAUAUAGGGUCAUAGGAAUCACUGUUUUGGGUCAGGCCAUCUGUUCUUUAAUUAGGACUUGUAACAGAUACUUAGGAUGACUAUGCACAAGAACCUACAGUAGGCUGUCAUGAUAAUAAUAUAUUAAAUUAUAAUAUUAUAUUAAAUUAUAAUAAAUAGGGAAUCUCUCCCUGGGAUCCUGUUAGUUCAGCUUCUGUUGUAAAGCUCAAAGACACUUGUAUCUUUUCCAGGUCUUUAUUUUUAAAUAUUUUCUACUGCGAUGGCAUUUUAUCUUUUGUUCUCUCCUUUAAUGCGAGCAAGCAUUCAGCUUUGCAGUCCUCUAUCCCUCAGCAGUGAGUUCCCUGGGUUAACAUAUGGAGAAGUACCUGUUUAGUUAAUGGUGAAGUUGUUGACUGUCAAUUUAGUUGAACACCUUCUCUGGCUCUGACAGUAUUCCGGAAAGGUAACUCUUCAUCUACCUUUCCUGUGCCAUUUUCUUGGGAAAAUAACUUUAUUUUUGCUGCUUUCUCCCUGCAUGCUGCUACUUCUGUGCUUCUUGUUGUUCUUGGUUCCUAUCUCUGAAAAGCUUUCAGCUGAGCUGCAGUAACUGGAUGGUUCAAAUUUCCCACCAUGCUUCGGUUGAGAAAUCAUUGUUCUUGUCUAUAAGGUAAAAUUUUUCUUAUGCUGCUGAAGGUGUGAAUUCACAGAAAGUACUGUUAGUAUUUUAGGUUUUAUUUGAGGAAGAUAUGUUGUGUUGUAGUAGUAAAGAUGGUUUUGCAAGGGAGGUGUCUAAAUCUGCUACAGUGCUACAGCAAAGUGAAGGGUUCUUAAGGUGCAUGUUUUCAAAGCUGCUUUGAGAGACCAUGGCACUAAACUAAAAGGUGGGGAGAGUUCCUUUUCAGGGCUGGGGGUGUGCCUGUGUUUCUUUUGGCAGUUUUAAAUCCAGAUCGAGAUGCAGCACCAAUGUUAACAUCUUAACAGCAGCUUCCAAGCUAGCGGUUGUGGGCAUGGACCCCCAAAAAACUUAAUGUGCUGGGCUUUUUUUUUGUAUCCUAUACUGGGCUUUUUUUUGUAUCCUAUGCUGAUCUGAAAUAAAAUUCAGUGCAAUUGAUGUAGAAACCAGUUGAUGUAGAUAAAUACUGUAAUUUUAAAUACCUGAGCAAAAGGGAUCUUUAGCCGUCUUUGUUUUUGCCUUUUGCUUUUUUUCGAUGGAGCCUUUUUGUCUGUGGAGUACUGUUUGUGAAGUAUCACCCUCCUUAUAUCACUUAUAUUUUUCUAUAUAGAUUCUUAGAAAACUCAAACUUCAAGGUGAGUGUAAGUUAGUAGCUGAAGGAAUCAAUAGGCUUUGAGUGAAUGGACGUGAAGGGAAAUACGAAAAUUGUGAGGAGGAGGGACAGAUUGAUGUUGGAUACGUUAAUUGAAAAAUGAGGUGUUGAACCUUAUCCUGACUAGCAAAGAAAUGCACUUCUUUUUCUAACCUGCUUAUAAGCAUUAGAGCCGGAAGCCUCUUUUAUGUUGUGCUCUGGUUUCCAAGGAGAUGUGAGAUAUUUCUGAGAAACUGAGAAAUCAUGGAAAGAGGAAUUUUAAAUUGCAUGUCAAACCACAAAAAAUGCAGUGGCAGGGAAGAUUUGCAAUAUGAAGUAUUUUAAGGGUAGAGCUUAGAUCCUAUAUAGCUGAAAUACUUUUUCACCAGUGGUAGUGAUUAGCGUUUAACUGAGAGCUAAAACAGUUUGAUAAACAGCAUUCUUUUCAUUUUUAACUGCUUGGAGAGAAGACUAAGUGCCAAAGAUAAAUAAAUGGUAUUUAUCCUGUCUGGAAAAAUUCUUUAUUCAGAAUUAAAAGCCCUAAAAUCUUACUUUAAAAAAAAAAAAAAAAGAGAUGGUUGAAAAAUGCUGGAGAUAUAGUUCUUGAAAUAGCAUUUGGCUUGAGAGUGUUGAAUGGAUAGGUACUACAGACAGAGCAGUUCAGGAAUGUACUGUGUCUCGGAUGCUAGAAGCUACUUUAGAUUAUACAAAGUGUUUAAGUCAACUUCUUGAGCAAACUGGAAACUUUCACUUGACAACAGCAUGUGUGUAGCAUCCAACGUUUUUGCAAGCAAGAGAUAAGGCACACUGUGAUAAAACCUACUCAAAUGCUGGCUUAUGCUUUGGAGCUCUGGGUAGCUCCAGUAGGUCCUAUGAAGCCGAAAGAGUGGACUAAUUUUGCUAAAUAUAUACAUGUGCCGUAUUCUCUGAGAGAACUUGCAAAUUAAUAACCAAGAGAUGGACUUCUUUGUGCUGCCUUGACACUCGUCAUGUUCUAGAAUAUUUUAGUGCAGUGUUGCGAAGAUGUGAUUCUGCAGCAGACUUUCCGACACAAGGAGAGACUGGGUAGCAUCUGUGCUUACGUACUGCAAACUAUAUGCUUUGUGCUGUAUGUUAUAUAUAGCCUUAAGAUUUGUCAUUGCUGUAGAUGCAAUAUGGUUCCCCUGGCUUUAUUUCUGUUUCAUCUGUUAAUGUGAAUCAUGUCUUCACUUGUGUACUCACGUUGUCACUAAGUAGGCUGAUCAGCAUCUUCAUCGCUCUUGUAUUAUUUCUGCAUCUCAGGUGUGGCUAGCAGGCUGGUAGGGCAUGUAGCAAGCAAUCUGGGAGAGUCUGUCUGAACCUCUGAAAGUUCAUUGGGAUUGGUAAGUGGAAACUGCAAAUGCUGUCAUUUGGAGUAGAAGUCAAGCUGUAAGUCUGGGGGAUUGCAGGCUUUUAGGUAGUAUUGCUGGGAAAAACUUUGGCUUCAGUCGAAGUGUAAGUAAGGUGGUAAAUCAGUCAAGAAAGUACUGUGUGUAUUGAAGCCUUCUCUCCCCCAGUUCUCCUCACUUGGGGGAGGGGGCCAACGUUGGCAUUGUUUGCUCUCCAGCUACCCGUAGUUCUGUUUCUUGUUUAUUUGAUAAAUUAAUAAAGCAGGCAAUAAAAUAAAAGGCAGAGAUGCACGAGUUAGUAAAAUAAAUACAUAAAAUUUAUAAAAAUGUAUUUUUAGAAUGCAAGAAAAGUAUUUUGUUUGUGUUGGUGAAAAUGUUCGUGAUAUUGUAUUGGAAAGUUGUUUGGGGAAAAUAAUACAAGUCCACAAAAAGAAAUAAAAAGCCAUAAUAAAUUGCAGAGCUUUUGCGUGUACAGGUGAAGGAUGGGUUAUUGAUGCAGAAAAGACAUCUUUACUGGUUGCAUAUGACUGCAGUUCUCACUUUACACAUGCUUCUUUUUAAAGCAUCAGGCCUCUGAGCUACAAAAUGAUGUGGGUUUUACCUUUCCUUGAACGACAUGAUAGUAGAAAAAUAGCAGAAAACUUGGUUGUUUCCCACAACUGCACUUCCUAUUUCUGCUCAUAAAUGAGUUGAUUUUGACUUUGAAUAUGUAUAAAUGGUGAAAGUAGAGGAAGUAAUACAGGGGCCAAGUGGAGAAGAGUAUCUUUUUUUUCUGUUGGUGUUGGCACCUGGGUUACGUAGGGCACAACGGGCUCUCGUGCCUCAGUCAGCACUUCAGCUGUGCCGCCUUCUUCCAGGCCUUCCCUGAAGACAGCAAAGUGAAGAUUAUUUAAUAAGCAAGGUUCCAGUGAAACCUCAAAGAUGAGGGGAAUUCCAAAAGGAAAAUAAAAAACUCAUCUGUCAGGAUGGAUUCUCCGGCUGUCAUUCAGAGCAGAAAGCUGCAGAAUGCUUGUGGCCAGCUACAUGAAUGUGAGCGUGUGAAACUUUUCCACCCCCUCGCGUGCGUAACAGAACAUGCUUAGAUGAGAAUGGUUUAGGCAGGCCACAGUUAGUUAACGUACACUUUGUGUUUAAAACUUUUUUGAAAGAAAAUAGUUGUUUUUUUAAAUCAGUUUUAUUCUGAAGGACUUAGGAAGUUUUUACAGUGCUGAGGCGUUGCCUCUUCAGUUGUCUCCUAUGUGAAACUGUCAUCAGGUUUGUUUAGAAAUAUGAUUUUGCUGCUGUAAACAUUUAAUUUGUCAAAGCACGUGGGAAUGGCCCUUCUUAAAUGCAGAAUCUUUUUAGUAAUUUUAUCCUUGAAGACUAAUGAGUAGGAUAUCUCAAAGCACACGGAUCUUGUCCAAGGAAGGGUCUUCACUGCAGUGUGUGCUUCGAUGUAAAGUCAAAGGAACUACUGUCUGCAUUAGAGUUAGCAAUGAAAAUAGUCAUCACAAUUCUGCAUUUUUAUUUAUUUAUUUAUUUAUUUUGCUUUAGAAACCAAUAUUCUGAACUUGACAGAGAUUUUGCAGGAAGAAGUGGCCAUCUAAGGAACUAACUUAGGAUUUAUAUGAAAGUUGUCUAAACAGCUUCCAGCUAAUUGCGUGCUGCAGUUCACACAGCACUGUUCUCUUUGGGUCUCGCUUCCAGCAGCACCCCGGAGCCACGCUGCAGCCCUUGUUCUGCAUUGGACACAUCUGCUCAUUUUCUCUUCCCCCUCGUCAGCUGCUGCCAGUGUGGAGUUGGAUAAGGUGUCAGUUUCAGUUUGUCUUAAUGAAGCCAUCCAUUAAAUGCAUUCUUCAAAUCCAGACGAGUCUGUCUGUUGUUCUCUGCAGGAGUUUGGCUCGGUGAGGCAGGAUUGCUGGCACUGCCACACAGCCAGGCACUGCGACACCCAGAGCUGGUCUGAGUUGGUCAAGCUUUGCUUAUUUAGCAGAGCCUUUAUAGGUACAACUUUAAUAAAUACCAGGGAGUAAAUAUCUUUUUUUUUUUUUGUCUCCAGAAGGAUUUGAGGGAAAACUAGCCAUUUUUUUUUCUUUGUCCCCAUUGAGUGGUGUUUGGGCAGUUUUGCAUGUAGUGAUCAUUCUGUCAUUGAAAUCCUCCUUAUCUCUUGCAAAAGUCCACUUUGAAAGGGCAACAAAUCGGUUGUUGGAUUCCUGUUCUCACACACUGGGAAACAGAAAUCCUUAGCUGGGGUGCUUCAUAAGCUUUCCUGCUUACAGUAAGGUCUUUGAGGCUGGCCUUUACUAGACAUUGGCUUUGAAAAGAAAAUACUGAUGAGUGAUGAGAAGAAAUGUACCUGCCUGUAGAAAAACAUGUUAUGUGAAGUAAUAGGGCGCUAUAGUACAACAGGAAUAUGCGGUGAUGUGGGCUAACGUGUACAAAAGUACUGGUGAAACAGCAUUGCUUUCUUAAUUAAGGGACAUUUUUCCCUCGGAGAUCUUAAAGGUGGAGUGACUGCAGUGAGACAUCUGCACCUGCCUUUUCUCCUUGCCAACCUCCUUGAGGCUAUUCAUUACUGCGCUGUUAGGGAGUCACCUUUAUGGCGCUCCAUGCAUAGCAUUACCUGUAGUGUUUGAAUUAUCAUUCAGUUUGUGAAAUGAGAACCUCGCCGAAGCCUUUGGAACUAAUUAAAUGCCAUCCUCCUGGGAGCUGUCCUCCGUAAGCAGGAACAACAGAAGCAUGGUGCUGUGCUGAGCCCUUGAGAGGCUGAAGCGUUUCCCCAGCUGCUGCUUCUGCCUGGGCUGACGACUUGUAGCCAUUUUAUCACUCACAUUUACAUGGCAGAGCUCUAAGCAGAAACCUCAGGCCGCACUACUGCUUAAUGUAUAAUAAAUAAUAUUUGCUAUCUUUAAAAGGCUAAAUGAAAUGUGCAUUCUGUGCUUUUAACAAGAGGUUCUGUAAACAUUUUAUACAGCUUCAAAACCCAUCUAAUCUUUAAUGGGUUGUUAAGAGAUCUCAUUAAUAAAAUGUAUUUUCUUACUAAUGCCGUCACCAGCAGAUUUAAGUAAAAAUGCUGUGGCUGAAAGCUGUUGAACAAUUUCCUAAUGGAGCGCUGUUGAGAAUAAACCAAAAGUGCUGUAGAAGCAGUGUUUGACAGUUGGAGGAGGCCAAAGGAAAUUUGUUAGUGAUGCCAAAUCUGGAAGGUGACUGUAUGCAGAUCAGGACCUGGUGGGGAUCAGGGAGCCUUUUGCUGCUCAUUCGAGUCGUCUGCUUCCUGAGAAGUUAAUCUGAUGCUUCUGACUUCUUACAGCUGCUUGACCUGUGAGAGCUAAUUUUAGCUGCUUUAUGGUAUACAACAGGCAUGUCACAUAUUACUCUCUUUUUUUUCUUCUUCUUCUUAUAUUUAUGGCAGAAUUAGGGAAGCAUUUCACUGAAUUCUAACUAAUUCUCUGAACAAAUAAAAUACUACGAAACAAAAAACAGUUUUAUUUUCCUAGUUUUUUUUCCCUUGGCUAUUUAGCUUUCAUCAGUGUGCUGUUUGCCAUCAGUCCUCCAUUCAGUACAGUGUCUUUCAGUUGCUAAUAUGAAUGGACAGUGGAGAAGAUAUUUCCGUGGCUCUGUAUCUAUUCCUUCCUAUACUUGAAGAGUGGUGUUAAGAUCUGUGUCCUCAACGAAACUUUGAAAAAGUGACUGAGAUUAUUGCUUCUCUGUAGGGAAAUGAUGUUUUCAUCUUCUGCUUUUAGCUCAGUGUUAUGCUGCUGUAAGGAUUGCUCGCUGUUAUCCCUGUGGGUUGCUCUGGUGAAAGUGUGUUUGUAGGACAGGCCCACAAACUUUUAAGUGUGUCUUAAAGGAAUUGCUGAGAGUGUGUUUCCAGUCCCUUUCAAAGAUACAGCGUGCUUCAUCCACAAGCAUUCAGAGUUUGAAACCAUAGAUUCAAACAAACAAAAUGCCCUUCUGUAAAGUGGGUAACAUCUAUUAAUGAAUGCAUGUGCAGUGUCACAGUGUUAAGGAGAUCAAUUCCACUAGAUGCUCAGCUGUCUCUUGGCCUCCAGCUGCUGCUUUCCCUACGCUUCACACCUAAAUUGCAUGAAAAGUAUUUGUGGCAGUAGGGAAGGUGGAGUUAGGUACAUUUGAGGCAUCUUCCACUAAAAUAAGUAGAUAUUUCUUGUGCACUCUUCAGAAUAGUUUAAUCUGAGUGCAUUUUGAAAUUGCACUGUAAUAUUAAAAGAAAAGCAGUACUUACAAUCAGAAACUCCAUCCACUUCUUUUUAUCUACCACGUAAUUUCUUCUGGCAUAUCUUCUUAUGCAGUGUUUUGUUGGUUUUUUUUUUUUU
rnacentral:lncRNA from 1 species